AAUGAUUAAUAGGGAUAGUUGGGGGCAUCARUAUUCAUUUGCUAGAGGUGAAAUUYUUGGAUUUAUUGAAGACUAACUAUUGCGGAAAGCAAUUUSCCAAGRAUGUUUUCAUUAWUCAAGAACGAAGGUUAGGGGAUCGRAAACGAUCAGAUACCGUUGUAGUYUUWACAGUAAACUAUGCCGACUAGGGAUCGGGCGACCUCAAUAUAAUGUGUCGCUCGGCAACCUUACGARAAAUCAAAGUCUUUGGGUUSUGGGGGGAGUAUGKUCSCAAGGCUGAAACUUAAAGGAAUUGACGGAAGGGCACCACCAGGAGUGGAGCCUGCGGCUUAAUUUGACUCAACACGGGGARACUCACCAGGUCCAGACAUGACUAGGAUUGACAGAUUGAYAGCUCUUUCAUGAUUUUAUGGGUGGUGGUGCAUGGCCGYUCUUARUUGGUGGAGUGAUUUGUCUGGUYAAUUCCGAUAACGAACGAGAACCUUAUCCCUGCUAAAUARCCAGGCCCGGCUUUUGYUGGUCGCCGGCUUNUUAGAGGGANUGCGGUUGCGUCUAGCCCGCGGAAGUUUGAGGCAAUAACAGGUCUGUGAUGCCCUUAGAUGUUUUGGGCCGCACGCGCGNUACAACUGACNGAGCCNGCGNGUUUUUCACCUUGGCCGGAAAGGUUCUGGGUAAUCUUGUAAAACU
rnacentral:rRNA from 1 species